rnacentral:rRNA from 1 species
GAAUCUUGCGCAAUGGGCGAAAGCCUGACGCAGCGACGCCGCGUGUGGGAUGACGGCCUUCGGGUUGUAAACCACUGUCGGGAGGGACGAAGGUCUGACGGUACCUCCAAAGGAAGCACCGGCUAACUCUGUGCCAGCCGCCGCGGUAAUACAGAGGGUGCGAGCGUUUCCCGGAAUUACUGGGCGUAAAGGGCGCGUAGGCGGUCCGGUAAGUCGGGGGUGAAAUGCUGCGGCUCAACCGUAGCACGGCCUUCGAGACUGUCGGGCUGGAGCAUGGUAGAGGCUGGCGGAAUUCCUGGUGUAGCGGUGGAAUGCGUAGAGAUCAGGAAGAACACCGGUGGCGAAGGCGGCCAGCUGGGCCAUUGCUGACGCUGAGGCGCGACAGCGUGGGGAGCAAACAGG